UUUCCGGUUGAUCCUGCCGGACCUGACUGCUAUCGGAUUGAUACUAAGCCAUGCGAGUCUUUGCAGUAAUGCAAGGCAUACGGCUCAGUAACACGUAGUCAACCUACCCUAUGGACGAGGAUAAUCUCGGGGAACUGAGCAUAAUACUCGAUAGAUCAUAAUGCCUGGAAUGGUUUAUGGUUGAAAUGAUUCGUCGCCAUAGGAUGGGACUGCGGCCUAUCAGCUUGUUGGUGAGGUAAUGGCCCACCAAGGCGAUUACAGGUACGGGCUCUGAGAGGAGAAGCCCGGAGAUGGGUACUGAGACAAGGACCCAGGCCCUAUGGGGCGCAGCAGGCGAGAAAACUUUGCAAUGUGCGAAAGCACGACAAGGUUAAUCCGAGUGAUUUCUGCUAAAGAAAUCUUUUGCAAGUCAUAACACCACUAGUGAAUAAGGGGUGGGCAAGUUCUGGUGUCAGCCGCCGCGGUAAAACCAGCACCUCAAGUGGUCAGGAGGAUUAUUGGGCCUAAUGCAUCCGUAGCCGGCUCUGUAAGUUUUCGGUUAAAUCUAUGUGCUCAACGCAUAGGCUGCCGAAAAUACUGCAUAGCUAGGGAGUGGGAGAGGUAGACGGUACUCGGUAGGAAGGGGUAAAAUCCUUUGAUCUAUCGAUGACCACCUGUGGCGA
rnacentral:rRNA from 1 species